rnacentral:rRNA from 1 species
AGUGAACGCUGGCGGUAGGCCUAACACAUGCAAGUCGAACGGCAGCACAGUAAGAGCUUGCUCUUACGGGUGGCGAGUGGCGGACGGGUGAGGAAUACAUCGGAAUCUACUUUUUCGUGGGGGAUAACGUAGGGAAACUUACGCUAGUACCGCAUACGACCUACGGGUGAAAGCAGGGGAUCUUCGGACCUUGCGCGAUUGAAUGAGCCGAUGUCGGAUUAGCGAGUUGGCGGGGUAAAGGCCCACCAAGGCGACGAUCCGUAGCUGGUCUGAGAGGAUGAUCAGCCACACUGGAACUGAGACACGGUCCAGACUCCUACGGGAGGCAGCAGUGGGGAAUAUUGGACAAUGGGCGCAAGCCUGAUCCAGCCAUACCGCGUGGGUGAAGAAGGCCUUCGGGUUGUAAAGCCCUUUUGUUGGGAAAGAAAAGCAGCAGGUUAAUACCCCGCUGUUCUGACGGUACCAAAAGAAUAAGCACCGGCUAACUUCGUG